rnacentral:rRNA from 1 species
GUAGGGCGCAAGCGUUGUCCGGAAUUAUUGGGCGUAAAGAGCUCGUAGGCGGUCUGUCGCGUCUGGUGUGAAAUCCCAUGGCUCAACUGUGGGCUUGCAUCGGGUACGGGCAGACUAGAGUGCUGUAGGGGAGACUGGAAUUCCUGGUGUAGCGGUGGAAUGCGCAGAUAUCAGGAGGAACACCGAUGGCGAAGGCAGGUCUCUGGGCAGUUACUGACGCUGAGGAGCGAAAGCAUGGGGAGCGAACAGGAUUAGAUACCCUGGUAGUCCAUGCCGUAAACGUUGGGCACUAGGUGUGGGGCCAGUUCCACUGGUUCUGUGCCGCAGCUAACGCAUUAAGUGCCCCGCCUGGGGAGUACGGCCGCAAGGCUAAA